rnacentral:lncRNA from 1 species
AACAUCUUGUACUUCCCUAGCCCUAUUCGCUCCUAGUUUUCAAAAGGCAGCCUCAAAAGCACUUCUCUGGAGUCAGAGCAGGUCAGACCCGUCCUUUAUACAAGCUCCUUUUUCUUUCCCAGCUGGUUGCCCUCUCUUUGCUCCCUUGUGCUUCCCCUUUCUCUCCUUCCCAUCUCCCCAGCCACCGGCCAGCUCAGCAACGUCACCACGAUCCCACUCUUUGGAAAAAGAAGGGGUGCGUUGCAGAUGGCUUUUUUCCAGGUUGCUCCUCUCACAAAGAACAGGAUCUCGGUGACGGCCCCGCCGAGCAGGCUGUACCCUUCCCUUGCACAAGCAGCAGUGCAUCACGUCAUGCUCGGAGCGCGCCGCCUCACUCCCGCACCUCUCUCCGUGUCAGGCUUUUCAAGUUUCUACAGAAAAAAAAGAAAAAAAAAAAGCAAGCUUUCAUUCUACAAGGCCAGCACCCAGUUUGUAUUUUAUGUAUCGCAGGGAAAAUGAUAAGCCGGGAUAUAACAAUGACCUACUUCACGUCUUGAUAACAUAAUUUCCUCUGUCUGUCAUUUUUCUCGAAGAAUAAUAUUUGACUAACACGAGCACGGAAGAUAGGGCAGGAGCUUUUCUGUGAACUGAUAAUGGACCAGAUUCAGCCCCGAGACAGACAGCGGCCCCCCUGUUGACCUACGUGGAGCUAAGCCUGUUUAUCCCGCGGCUCAGAGCUCGGAAAACAACCGCGUUAAAACCUGCGAGAUGUGCGCGUGCGAUAGGGCCGUGGCCGAAGGCUUCGGCGACAGCGGCUAUCGGCGGCAGCAUCCCUUCGGGACCAGCCCUCAGCCCACCGCCAGCACCGGGGGCUGCUCCGACCCGCUGCACCCCCCUGCCAAACAAUGGGUUAGAUCAUCCUCUUGCACAAAAGCCUUCUGUGCUCCGUAGGGCACAUUACGGUAUGGCACAACCAUGCAGCUCCGAGCCCGCUCCCGCCCCCCGGCCCCGAAACAAAGCGGACAGUUGUAGUCAUCUCCCACCUACGGGAGUCCUCCUCGUCUUCGCGCAUCUUUGCGCUGAACGAGGGCUCGUUGCAGGGCUGAUGCAGGGUGGGGACGUGCUGCUUGCUGCUGCAGGCAGGACGGACAGAAACCUGUCGUGGCUUCAGCGUGCCCAGGCACACUGGUGGCUGAAGCUGGGAUAUUUGCUCUAUGCCGGCUUCCAGCACCAGUGCAUUAGGAAGGCACAGUGGAACAUCGCCUUUGUUAGCCUGGCCUCGCCUCGUGCAGCACCGUGCCCAAGCCGACGCUCAGACCCACAAAAAACAAACCGGACUGAGCGGGGCCCCCGGGCUGCAAACGGGGGCUCAGCCCAGCCCCGCGACCACCACCAUGCCCUGCCCGCUCGGUGCUGCCACCAGCACACCCCAGCCGGGGCGUUACGGGGACACGGUGCCCGCAGCACCCGCGGCCCCUCCCGCCACACGUGCCCCGCGAAGCCCCCGCCCCUCGACCCCCUCCCCACGGCA